rnacentral:rRNA from 1 species
UACGUAGGGGGCAAGCGUUGUCCGGAAUCAUUGGGCGUAAAGAGCGUGUAGGCGGCCCGGUAAGUCCGCUGUGAAAGUCCAGGGCUCAACCCUGGGAUGCCGGUGGAUACUGUCGGGCUCGAGUCCGGAAGAGGCGAGUGGAAUUCCUGGUGUAGCGGUGAAAUGCGCAGAUAUCAGGAGGAACACCAAUGGCGAAGGCAGCUCGCUGGGACGUGACUGACGCUGAGACGCGAAAGCGUGGGGAGAAACAGG